CUUCCACCGAGCAAGGGAUGCCUGAGCACAAGUAGCUGAGUGCCCAGUGACUUUACGAAGCACUUUUCUACCUUCCUCGGGAGUGCAAACUGGGAUUCUGCACCUGCAUCGGGGACAGUCUGGCCAAAGCCUCUGCUCUGCCUCUGAGGACAUGGAACUAAAGCCAAUAACCAUUUUGAAAUUAGGGAUCUUGGCAAAAUGAUCAAUCCAUGAAGGAAACAGAAUGCAGUUUGAUCUACAUCUUCAGUGACAGUUCCACAGAAGUUGAAGACACAUGUCAUCUCCCCAAAGAAGAGCAGAGAGCGUGGUUAGCUGUACUCUACAAUUAGGGCAUGAUGAAGUUCGGUAGUGUUCACCAGCUGUAAGGAUUUCCCAGAAGAAAAGAAGAAGCAAAUGUGCAAACCUCCACCCUUCAACUUGAAGACCUGCAGUUCGUAAUGUGCGUAUCCAAAGUGCUGACAUUAAUGCCGUUUCCAGGGUUUUCAAUGGGAGGAUAAUCUGUGAUGACAAAAUUGUAUCCCUUCCUUCCUGCAAUUACCUCACUCUCCUUACAGCCUUGACAUCUGGAAAGCCAGUGCUACUGUAGCAGCUGUGACUCCUGUCCUACAGCAGGAAGUUAACUGUGCAUUCCAGAGAGCCCUCAUUGUUCCCAUAUUUUCGGGCAGCUCAGAAAGCCUGGAUAUUGGAGAUCACAGUAUUUUGUGGCAGCCACAUUUUGGAAUCUUAUGCAAGUGUACACCA